CUGCUAAGACUGAACCCACAGUGAACUAGUCUAUGGGGGGAGGGCGGCAAUGGGGGGAGGGUUGGGAGGGGAACACCCAUAAGGAAGGGGAGGGGGGAGGGGGAUGUUUGCCCGGAAACCGGGAAAGGGAAUAACACUCGAAAUGUAUAUAAGAAAUACUCAAGUUAAUAAUAAAAAAAAAAAAAAAAAGAAGAGCAGGCUUUCUGAGGAGAGUUUGAAAUAGAAUAUAAGAUUCUAGAGGGCUUUGAAUGCGCUUCAGAGCUCACGAGUCUUUGGUCUUUUAAAGAGUUGUCUUUUAACCAGUCUCCAGACAGCACCUGGGGUAUUGCUGUGAAAAUGAGUGGGGAAUGGGGUUCACUGUGUAGAUUCUGGCUGUCCAUCAGAAGUGGAAUACUCAUUACACGGAGGCCAUAUGCUAUUUAAAACUUUCUAGACACUAUACUAAGAAAAGGCAGUUAUAUUAAAGCAGGUAAACAAAGCCCAGAAGAUUAAUUUUAGUAAUAUAUUCAACGCAAAUAUUCACAAUACAAUAAUUUCAAUGUGUAAUUGCUUUAACAUCAUUUAAAAUGCUUUGCUCUUUUAUAAUUAAAGUGUGUGUGUGUGUGUGUGUGUGUGUGUGUGUGUGUGUGAUAUGUGUGUGUGUGUGUGUGUGUGUGUGUGUGUGUGUAUGCUUGCAUGAACACAGCAUGUCCCAAUCUGGAGAAAUACAGUUCAAAUACUUGGCAGUCAUACUCAUCUAGUGGUUAUCUUAUUAGAAAGUGCAAAGACAAUGUUGGUUGUGUAAGGACAAGUUUGUGCUCUUAGUACAUGGGAGGUGGAAGCCGAAAGAUAAUGAGUUCAAGACCAAUAUGUCUUAGCUACAUAUUGAGUUCAGACUUAGCUACAUAAGAACAUGUCCCCAAAGAAGAAAAUGGUAACAAAAAGGAGUGAAGAAAGUUUCAGAAGAGACACAAGAUCACAUUGAAAGCCCUAUACAGCUCAAUAUUUCCAAAUCCACCCUAGUGGAACCACGAGAGAUUCUCCCACUGAAAACAGACACAAGAGAAGGGAAUAAUUUGCAAAGGCAGCAGGUGCCAGCCACACCAAGUACUUCAGAUGGAUUCAGCUAUACUGUGACAUUAUUCUGACGAGAAGGGAAGGGUCAGGGCCAUGCUGUAGGAGGCAGAGGAGAUUUAAGGGCCCUGGCCACAGUCUACUGCUUGAGAGUUUCCUGUGCAAGGAGAUGUGGCGUUGAGCCCCCAUCACUACGGAUGAAGACAUGGCAUGGAUACUGGUCAGGAUGUUAAUGGAGAGGGACCAUUGGCUUGGAAGAGGGAGAGGAUGAGGGUGGGAAUUAGCUCUGGGAGAAGGGAGAUGCUGAGAUCAGACAGAGGUCACACGUUCACUAGAAGAGCUCUGCCUUCUCCCAAACUAAUGAGGACAAACAGCUUGUCUGGAGCAGGCAGAGUAGGAGUUCAGAUGGAGAGAAAAGGGAGUCCUUUGUCUAGUGCCUGCUCUGAUUUUCUCAGUGAAAUAUACAAGGUCAAGGGUGGAAGGACACAGGUGCAUGGAAUUUGAGGAGAGGGGAUAAAAUGUGAAAGAGCUUUGAAGUGUGACAACUUGCACACGUCUGCUCCGGUGGCUGUGAGGUUUGUGACCAGGCUAUACCUUCUUUUGAAAAUCAUUAAAACAAUCUGGAUUGUAAGUCCUGAAAAGGUGACAGUAUGGUUUAAUCAGGUUUCACCUUAGCACACAUGGUUGGCUCCAUACUGGGAAAGUGAGCUGAGUUAGUGGUGUGAUGGUGGCAUCGGUGGCAGCGAUGGUGGUGGUGGUGUGUGUGGUCUUGCAUAUGCAUGGCUGUAUGAUUGGUGUGCAUGUGUGCACAUGCAUGGUGGAGGCCAGAGACCCACCUUAGUUGUUUCCUUCAGGAGCCAUCUACCUUGUCUUUUUCUCUUAUUGGCCUAGAGCUUGCCAAGCAGAUGAAGCUGGCUGACUAGCAAGCCCCAGGGAUCCACUUGCCACACCUUCCCAGCACUGGGAUGGCAAGGCUCUGUCACUGCAGCCUUAGGUGUGGCUUCUGGAGAUGGAAUUCAGGUCCUUGUACUUACACAGCAAACACUGUCUUAUAGCGCUACCUUCAUAGCCUGCUAAGUGGUUUUUAAAAGAAUGAUUAGAAGAAAGAUCCACAUUCUCUCUGGGUGAGCAAGAAAGGAGGACAGGAAUGGGAUCACUGAUGGUCACCUGAGGAGGUGGGGAGUGAUGACAGUACUUAGAGAGUGAGAGGGAUGGGUAAGAACUACUGUUGACAGAAGAGCCCUUGAAGCUGAGGUUGGGGAGAUCACAAGGUCACUGGGGCAGAUAAGAGGUUGCAUAAAUGAGGAUGAAGGAAGAAAGAUCGUUGGGUGGCGAGAUUGAGAUGCUGUGCGUUGUACGCUUCUGACCCUCUCUCUCCUCUACAGGGUGGUCCCCUGGAACUCACGCUGCAUUAUCAGAAGAUGCCCCUGAAUUUCAGCUUCUCUUGGAUUUCCUUUCCAUGAAGUGGAGCUUGAGAAUGAGGUGGCUGGUGUGGUGAACGGAUUUCUGCAUGGACCAGUGAAUACUUGUGCUUCCAGGGCUGAUGACAGGCAUGAAGUGGAACAGAAACUUUUGGUGCUAAAAUCGUCAUCCAGGAAGUGGGUGCUCAGGGGCUCUUAGCUAAUCAAGGGGUUAAAGGACCUGGGAACUUUCAGGGAAGGGGGAGGAUAUGAUAUUUCAAUAAACUGGACAGCAAGGGUGGGGUGGAAGAUGAAAGAAAAUAACCCUUUGCAGUGACAAUCAUGACUCAGUGCUCCACAGACAGAGACAGUGCUGAUGCUGUUGUCCUUCACCAGAGAACGUUUACACGGGAGGUACCUACUGCAUAGGACACCUCCCAAUCUCUGUGACGCACACGCAGUGGAAGCGACACCCCAGACAAGCUGAGAGACACAGGGGCAUCUUCUGAUAAUGCAGCGUGACCACCCUGUGGAGACCACCCUGUGGAGGAGAGAGGCAGUCAGAAAUGUGGAUGCACAAACAUGCCAGGGCACCUAUACUAAUGUGUGCAUUCAUGCGUGCAUGCAAGCAUGUGUGCAUGUGCGUGUGUGUGUGUUCGAGAGUGUGUGCAUGUGUGGUGGGGAGCCCAGGGAAGCUCAAGAUUCUUGUUCUUCUGAGGUUUUGUAAAACCUGCAUCCACAGAUGGACCUAAGUUCCUAAUCUAGAACCAUAUAUCCUGUUCAACAUAACUUCCUCCAAGCCUCUGGCUUUUUGGUAGGAUUUAAGAUUACAGGACUGGAGAGAGGUAUCGUCUGCAGAAUGCUCUGUGCGGUAAGUCACGGCCUAAAAGUAUUUGCGUGCAGGUGUUGUACAGGUAGAUAAUCCAUGCAAGCAAAGUCAGGCAAAUUUGUGUGAUUUCCAGCCAUUGUUUCUCUUGUGCCUGCCACCGAAAGCUUGUAAGAGAUCAGGUUGCUUGGACUUUAAAACAGCUUAACGUAUAGGCAUGGUUGCCCUCAGUGUUGGUUUCUCUCGUCACAGGCCUCUAUUUCCAUGUGACCUCACCCUGAGCCUGUGCCCAACGCUCAGCGCGCGUGUGUGUGUGUGUGUGUGUGUGUGUGUGUGUGUGUGUGUGUGUGUGUGUGCGCGAGCACGUAUGCUCGCCAAAUUCUAAAUGCCAGCUGUGGUUGUAUGAAGGUCUUCAGGGAGAGGAUGGCUACAGUGGUCUGGGGACCUGGCCACAGUACACAUGGGGACUUGGCCACAGUACACGUGGGUUGAGCAGUAGUUACCACAUGCCCAGUGGAGGUUUGAAAGUUUCACAGCACUUGACUGUGAGCUUCGUGAUGGCAGAGAACAUGGCUUCCCUGAAUUCCACCACUCUUCUCAGCAACUGGGGUACUGGGUGCAGGAUCACAGAACUCUUGAAGUAGGGCUUUUGGAAGGCAUUACAAGGUCAAGGGCAUGACCUAUGUGCAUAUUGCAAAAAUAAACAGUUACCCGCACCUCCCAAUCCUUAACUCCCCGUGUUCCCCCUGGCCAGCCACGCCAGCCUCACAGGCAACCUGGGCCUGGCCAGCCACGCCAGCCUCACAGACAACCUGGGCUCCCACUCCUUCUUCCUUCCUCUGAAAAUCAACUUCACACCAAGUUGGCCGGUUUCCCAUUUACAUCCUGUCCAAUCAAAAGUGAGCAUUUUUAGCAAUAGCAUUCAGACAACAGCUAGUGAGUGAUAAACACAUCCUCUCCUGAGAUGACACCCUCACUCUGGGACUCUAACUAGCCACUGGGCAGUGGCUCGGCCUCUCGGAGCUGCAGCUCUGUUGUUUGAAGAAUGACGAUAAUAAAAUCACACACUUCAGCCGACUGUUGGGAAGACUGGAUGUCAUAAUGUGUACAAACUGUUUGCCCCUUGCCAGGGGCUGGGCCAAUUCACAGUGACUGGCUGUGCUGUCAUGGUUGCUAUGACACUGUGUGACAGAUGACGUUUCUGUUCAGGGCUCAUAGCUCUGAGAAAGGUGCCAACUGCUGCACACUGGGCUCCCCCAAACCCUGAGUUUGGAGCUCUUAAGCUUACAAUGGAGGAUGGUGGAGACAGAUCCUGGUCCCUCUGCCUGAGCGGGAACACACACUAGUACAAACUGCUGUACAGACUCAGAACCGCUCUCAGGAAAGUAGAUGGCUCCAGACAGCAAAAUUAUAAAAUCUACAAUGGGAUUUCUGAGAAUUGUCUUCUGGCAAAAAUUCAAAGGGACCACUUUCUAAGUCCCUCAAAGGGACCACUUUCUAAGUAAGUCCCUUGCUACCACAUAACAUUUUCCAGGUUAGGCAGCUUUUGAUAAGCACAGAAAUUCUGAUUAAAAGUAUAAAGGAAAAGCUGAGUUCAUCGCACCCUCACACCAGCUUCCUUUGCUGCUCCCCCGCUCCCACCCUCACCCCACCCUGCACUUCAUUUAGGCCAUUGCCCUCGAGCUGAGUUUUGCCUCCAUCAAAUGUGCACUCAUUCAGUUGUCAUGAAGUCAAGGCCCUCCAUGGGGGUGUUUGUGGGCUUGGGUGGAGGGAGAGGUUGUGCUUGACGCUGUUGACCACACUAAGAGUAGGAGUCAGACAUCUGUAAGUGUCGCUUAAAGCUACAGGAGUAGUCCUGGGGCCAGGCACAGUAGCACCAGCCUUUAAUCUCAGCAUGCAGGAGGCAGAGGAAAGUGGAUCUCUAUGAGUUCAAGACUAGCCUGGUCUGUACAGUGAGUAGCAGGACAACCAGAGCUACAUGAUAGACAGUGUUUCUCAAAAAAGGGGGGCAGUGGUUUUGAGCUGAUGAAGGUGUUGGGAAACCCACAAUUAAUACCCUCCUGCGAUAUGUAUUGUCCUCGACAGUUUAUUUGACCUUUGUGACCACCCUGUGGAUAGGCAACACUAUCCAAGUUUACAGAAAUACAAAGGCAGGCCUAUGGUAACAACGAGAAGGCUAUGAUGAGGCUUCAUGGUCCAGUUUCUGACUUCUGUUUCUCUUGACUUCAGCUUACUUCACUAUAGCAACAACCACAAGAAAUACCCAGUGUCUCUUACCAUAUGCCGAGUACCUUCCUAUACUCGGUGUACACACCCCAGUUAGCAUUGCUGAGGGAGGGGUUGUCAUAUCUCCUUCUACAGAUGGGGUAAUGCCUGCAGAAGACAGGGUUGGAGGAACAUUCUGGAAUCUUGGCUCCUAAACAACUUCUCUGUUCAUUUCUGUUUUUUUCUUUUCUUUUAAUAUUCAAAAGUGUUUUCAGUCUCCUUGUGUCAACCCCAGAUUCUUGUUUUAAAAGAAAGAUGCAAAGAAUAAUACCUCCAUAAUGCACGCACGUGUAACAACAUCGCAACAAUUUUCCAUUAAUUUGAUAUAACAGAGCAUGAAGGAGAGGAGUAGAAAGUGCAAGAGGUUUACUCACUUUAUAUACCAUUUACUUCUACCUUUGCAAAAACUGAUAACACACACUCACACUCACUCACACACUCACACACUUACAGACAUACAUACACAUACUCAUACACACACACAUACAUACUCACACACAUUCACACUCACACACUUACAGACAUACACACACAUACUCACACACACAUACACAUACAUAUUCAAACACUUACACACACUCACACACAUUCACACUCACACACACACACACACACACACACACUUCUAAACAGAGAACAAAUCUAGAGGUUAUACAUCAAAUGCUCUGAGACACCAGCAAUGCACAUUAGCACAGUAUCUCCAUGGGCCUUUGUUUGUACUUCUUUAAUUCAUUUAAUUCACCUCUCAUAGGUUCUUGAGCAUGUGUCUCUCUGUGUGCAUCUGUGUGUGCAUGUGUAUGAAUUUUGUUGUCAAGAUUACACAUUCUCUGAGAUUACAGAAUAUCCUGAUUUAUUUCUACGUUUAAACAUACUCAUGUUCCAUACACACACACAAGCUCUUACCUUUUCUAUACUGGACACGCAGGCGAUUGGGCAGAGAACGCCACACUGACACUUAUUACUGUGGCCUAACCAGAUGGCCCCCUUCUAUUCACUUUAGUAACUGCUGAGAUCUGGGUUAGGUAGGGUAGCAACACAUUCGGCCUUCAAGGCUGUUUCUCUGUCUCUCAGACGAGAUCGGGCGCGUUCAGGGCGGUAUGGCCGUAGACUCUCUGUCUGUCUAAAGGUGACCAGGGAGUCUAACCGGAAGCUGCUGGGUCAUCUUGGAAAUCUCUGAAGGGGCAGACACACCUUUUUCCUCAGCGCCCCUCUCCUCACUGACGAUGCAGUAUGUAAAGCGUUAAUGUGUGUCUUGUUGGAUCAUGGGUAACAUUAAAGAUUCACACCCUGAGCCAUGGUGAGAGGGAAACAGAAGCAGACUGGGAUUUCACAUCACUCCCACGGUGCCUACCUCUAGAUUUGGUCACAUGACAGAGAGAAAGGUUUUUCUUCUCAAAACCACUGAUAUUUCUGACUUCUGUGACUUGAAGUCAAGCCCACCUCCAGAGGAAUCAAUCCUUACUUUAAAUCAAUGAAAAGAAGAUGUAAAGUGGGGUUGGGGAUUUAGCUCAGUGGUAGAGCGCUUGCCUAGCAAACACAAGGCCCUGGGUUCGGUCCCCAGCUCUGAAAAAAAGAAAAAAAAAAAGAAAAAAAAAAGAAGAUGUAAAGUAAAACCAAGAAUUGUCUGAAGUGAAUUUAGAUCUCAUAUCUUUGUGUUCUUUGUCAAACGGUAAGACCAAAAGUAAGUUACGAAAAGAUGGUUUUAUUCUGCUGUGAAACAGUAAAAAUGUUGUUCUCCUGUUCAGAGGAACGUCUCCCAGGAGCUUUCUGCUUGGAAAUACCAAUUCAUUUCCAGUUCACGUAUUUCUUCUUCCUCUUGGGUCCAUUAGCUCAAUCUGUUACCUUCAUGUGGCAUCUUCUGAAACUCCAAAGGCUUGUGGUAUCACUGUAUUCACUAUAUUGAAGAUGAGAAGAGGCAGGGUGGGGGUAGGAAGAAGUGGGAGGGGUCGAGGCGAGGCUAUAGUGGAGCUGCAAAUAUCUAAUGCCCAGCUUCAGAGGAACUGAGGUGGGCACUAUGGCUCUGAUGUGCUACCAGGAACUCCAGAUCCAGCUCGUGAAUAUGCUGAGAAUUUAGCAGUCAGCUCCCAGAAGCCUUUGGACCUGUCUCCAGCAGCUGACUAGAAGUGGUUUGUCUCUGUAACUCCUUCAGGGUCUUAGCAGGUUUUGCAGGGUCCAGGAAGAGAGGGCAGUAGAAGGUCAAGGCAUUAAAUAAGUUAUUCAGGGUUGUGGGCCACUCUGCAUAGAGCCAAUGUUUGCCCGCAGACUGUCUGAUUUCACACCUGGAUUUUGACUUCUAUGUUGGGAGAAUGAGAAAGUAAAAGGAAGAAAAGUGAAGGAAGAAAGGGGCUAAGGCCAAUUGAGGAAGCAAAGGAUAGUGUCAUGCUAAGACCAAUUGAGUCUUCGUGGUCUUGACAAACUCCGGACCAGGCAGAGCUCGGCGCUCCAGACCGUGGGUUAGUUCCUGCCCUGUGACCUGUUUGUGGGUUUCCCCGUGGCUUCUCUCUUAUAUUCUCUUGUUCUUGCUUGUUUUGAGAUAAGAUCACUGUAGCCUAGGCUGGCCAGAAACUCCCUUUAGAGCCCAGGCUGGCUUCGUACUCAUAGCAACCUCCUUCCCCCAGACUCUCAAGUGCUAUGACUACUGGCAUCCAUUCCCAUGCCUGGAUUUGCUUCUGCUCUUUAAAACAGUUAUAACAUAAGAAAGAAACAAACAGUAGGUGACAAAGCAAAUGCAGCUGACAGAGGUGGACAUUUCUCUUCCCUUCAGUGUCUCUGCCUGGCUCUAGGCCUGUCGCCUUGUGAAUCUCACUAGUCCAACGAUGAGCACAGGACAGAAGAAGGAGGCAGAGAUCUGCCUUCCGUAAACUCUCGAUCUGGUUUAUCUAAUUCCAUUGUUGAAAUGACCCCAAGAAAUGGUUGCAUUUAUCUUUUCAAUUCAGCAGAGGCAAAGAUGUGGUUUGGUGGUCUAACACCUCAGCUAAGAAACCCAGGUUUCUCAGAUUCUAAGUCCUUAUGCCACACUGGCUGAUCCUCUUCUCUUGGAGGAUUCUGUGUUCCUGACAUGGUAACCAGAACCUGCUGUCCUAGAAGAAGAUGCUACCUAUGCUCAAUGUGUGGCAGGAACAUACACUGCUCUCGGGAUGUGGUUGACUACAAAUCACACAGGAGGAGAUGCUUAGACCUGCCAGGGAACUAGGUUCCAGGCUCCACAGAAGUCAGGCCUGGAUGCUGGGAGGGCGGGCUGGUCCAGAAAUGAAGGAUGCUUUCAGGAAAAGAUGGUGGGCGUGUCUCAGGGAAGCCUUAAGGAGUGGGUGCUCUGGAAAUUGAAGGUGAGCUCUGUGCAAAGGUGUGGGGUUCAUGGUCAAGAGGCAAGAGAGCAUUCCCCUGGGCAGUGAGGUGGGUGUUACAUUAUCAAGGGCUGAAUUCUGGCCCAGUAUCCUGGCACGUCCACCUCAGUUUCUGGGUAGAGAACCUUUGAGCAGACAAAGGGAGGACAGAGCACAGCAUAACUAGUUUGGGGGCUUACGCUUACACAUGCGAAUGCUCCUGGAACUUAAGAAAGGCUUAGGUGUUUAUGACACCAGGGUAUUGAAUGCAGUCAGUGCAAUCUGGCCUUAAUGGAACAGGUUAGGCAGCAGCUCUGUGUCAGCUAUUUCUCUUCUUUCAUAUUGGAUAUUUUUUAUUUACAUUUCAAAUGUUAUUCCAUUUCCCAGUUUCCCAUCCAUAAACCCCCUCCCCAUGCUUCUAUGAAGAUGUUCCCCCACCCAUCCCUUCCCCUCUCCCCGCCCUGACAUUCCCCUACACGGGGGCACUGAACCUUGGCAGGACCAAGGGCUUUUCCUCCCAUUGAUGCCCAACAAGGUCAUCCUCUGCUAUAUACGCAGCUGGAGCCAUGGGUCCCUCCAUGUGUACUUGUACUCUUCAGAUGGUGGUUUAGUCCUGGGAGCUCUGGUUUGUUGGUAUUGUUGUUCUUAUGGGAUUGCAAACCCCUUCAGCUCCUUAAAUCCUUUUUCUAACUAUUCCAUUUGGGACCCCUUUCUCAGUCCAAUGGUUGGCUGUGGGCAUUCACCUCUAUAUUUGUCAGGGUCUGUCAGGGCCUCUCAGGAGACAGCUAUAUCAGGCUCCUGUCAGCACACAACCCUUGGCAUCCCCAAUCGUCUCUGGGAUUGGUGACUGAUGUGGGAUGGAUCCCCAUGUGUGGCAGUCUCUGGAUGGCCUUUCUUUCAGUCUCUGCUCCACACUUUGUCUCCAUAUUUCCUCCUGUGGGUAUUUCUGUUCCCCCUUCUAAGAAGGACUGAAAAAAUCCACACUUUGGUCUUCCUUCUUCUGGAGCUUCAUGUAGUCUGUGGAUUGUAACUUGGGUAAUUUGGUCUUUUGGUCUACUAUUCACUUAUCAGUGAGUGUAUACCAUGUGUGUGUGUGUGUGUGUGUGUGUGUGUGUGUGUGUGUGUGUGUGUGUGACUGGGUUACCUCACUCAGGAUGGUAUUUUCUAGUUCUAUCCAUUUGCCUAUGAAUUUCAUGAAGUCAUUGUUUUUGAUAGAUGAGUAGUACUCCAUUGUGUAGAUGUACCACAGUUUCUUUAUCCAUUCCUCUAUAGAGGGACAACUGGGUUCUUUUCAGUUUCUGGCUAAAUAAGGCUGCUAUGAACAUAGUGGAGCAUGUGUUUUUGCUGUAUGUUGGAGCAUGAUUUGGCUAUAUGCCCAGGAGAAUUAUAGCUGGGUCCUAAGGUAGUUCAAUGUCCAAUUUUCUGAGGAACCUCCAGGCUGAUUUCCAGAGUGGUUUUACCAGCUUGCAGUCCCACCAACAAUGGAGGAGUGUUCCUCUUUCUCCACAUCUUCACCAGCAUCUGUUGUCAACGAGUUUUUGAUCUUAGCCAUUCUGACGGGUGUGAGGUAGAAUCUCAGGGUUGUUUUGAUUUGCAUUUCUCUGAUGACUAAGGAUGUUGAGCAUUUCUUUAGGUGCUUCUUAGCCAUUCCAUGCUCCUCACUUGAGAAUUCUUCGUUUAUCUCUGUACCCCAUUUUUAAUAGGGUUACUUGAUUCUCUGGGGGUGUAACUUCCCGAGUUCUUCGUAUAUUUGGAUAUUAGCCCUCUAUCAGAUGAAGGAUUGAUAAAGAUCUUUUCCCAAUCUGUUGGUUGCUGUUUUGCCCUAAUGACAGCGUCCUUUGCAUUAUAGAAACUUUACAAUUUUAUGAGAUCCCAUUUGUCAAUUCUUAAUUUUAGAUCGUAAGCCAUUGGUAUUCUGUUCAGGAAAUUUUCUCCAGUGUCCAUGUGUCUGAGGCUCUUCCCCACUUUUUCUUAGUUUGAAUGCAUCUGGUUUUAUGUGGAGAUCCUUGAUCCACUUGGACUUGAGCUUUGUACAGGGUGAUAAGAAUGAAUUGAUUUGCAUUCUCCAACAUGCUGACUGUCAGUUGAACCAGCACCAUUUAUUGAAAAUGCUAUCUUUUUCCCACUGAAUAAUUUUAGUUCCUUUGUCAAAGAUCAAGUGACCAUAGUUUUGUGGGUUCAUUUCUGGGUCUUCAAUUCUAUUCCAUUGAUCUACCUCCCUCUAUACCAAUACCAUACAGUUUCUUUUAAAGUCAUUAUUGCUCUGUAAUACAGCUUGAGGUUAGGGAUGGUGAUUUCCCCUAGAAGUUCUUUUAUUGUUGAGAAUAGUUUUCACUAUCCUGGGUUUUUUGUUGUUUCAAAUGAAUUUGCAAAUUGCUCUUUCUAACUUUAUGAAGAAUUAAGUUGUAAUUAUGAUGGAGACUGCAUUAAAUCUGUAGAUUGCUUUUGACAAUCUGGCCAUUUUUACUAUAUUAGUCCUGCCAGUCUAUGAGCAUGGGAGGUCUUUUCAUCUUCUGAGAUCUUCGAUAUCUUCUUCGAGUCUUGAAGUCCUUGUCAUACAGAUUUUUCAUUUGCUUGGUCAGAGUCACACCAAGGUAUUUUAUGUUAUUUGUGACUAUUGUGAAGGGUGUCGUUUCCCUAAUUUCUUUCUCAGCCUGUUUAUCCUUUGAGUAGAGGAAGGCUUCUGAUCUGUGUGAGUUAAUUUUAUAUCCAGCCACUUUGCUGAAGUUGUUUAUCAGCUGUAGGCAUUCUCUGGUGGAACUUUUGGAGUCACUUAAGUAUACAAUCAUUUCAUCUGCAAAUAGUGAUAUUUUGACUUCUUCCUUUCCAAUUUGUAUCCACUUGAUCUCCUUUUGCUGUCUAAUUGCUCUGGCUAGGAUGUCCAGCACUUUGUUGAAUAGUGGGCAGCCUUAUCUAGUCCCUGAUUUUAGUGGGAUUGCUUCAAGUUUCUCUCCAUUUAGAUUGAUGUUGGCUACUGGUUUGCUGUAUAUGGCUUUUACGUAUGUUUAAAUAUUGACCUUGAAUUUCUGAUCUUUCUAAAACUUUUAACAUGAAGGGGUGUUGAAUUAUGUCAAAUGCUUUCUUAGCACCUAAUGAGAUGAUCAUGUGGGUUUUUUCCAGCUUGUUUAUAUAGUGGAUUAUGGUGAUGGAUUUACGUAUAUUGAAUUAUCCCUACAUCCUUGGGAUGAAGCCUGCUUGAUCAUGAUGGAUGAUCAUUUUGAUGUGCUCUUGGAUUCAGUUUCUGAGAAUCUUACUGAGUAUUUUUGUGUUGACUAAAGGGAAAUUGGUCUGAAAUUCUCCUUCAAAGAGUCUUUGUGUAGUUUAGGUAUAAGUGUAAUUGUGACUUCAUAGAAGGAAUUUGGUAGUAGUUGGUCUGUUUCUAUUUUGGAGAGUAUUGGUAUUAGGUCUUCUAUGAAGGUCUGAAAAAUUCUGCACAAAACCCAUCUGGUCCUGGGCUUUAUUUGGUUGGGAGACAUUUAAUAACUGCUUCUAUUUCUUUAGGAGUUAUGGGACAGUUUAGGUGGUUUAUCUGAUCCUGAUUUAACUUUAACUUUGGUACCUGGUAUAUAUGUCUAGAAAAUCGUCCAUUUCAUCAAGACUUUCCAGUUUUGGUGAAUAUAGGCUUUUGUUGUAGGAUCGGAUGAUUUUUAUUUUAAUUUCCUCAGAUUCUGUUGUUAUGUCUCUCUUUUCAUUUCUGAUUUAGUUAAUUUGGAUACUGUCUCUGUGCCCUCUGAUUAGUCUGACUAAGGGUUUAUUUAUUUUGUUGAUUUUCUCAAAGAACCAACUCCUAGUUUUGUUGAUUCUUUAUAUAGGUCUUUUUGUUUCUACUUGGUUGACUGAGUUUGACUAUUUCUUGCCAUCUACUCCUCUUGGGUGUAUUUGCUUCUUUUUGAUCUACAGCUUUUAGGUGUGCUGUCAAGCUGCUAGUGUAUGUUCUUUCCUGUUUCUUUCUGCAGGCACUCAGCGCUAUGAGUUUUCCUCUUAGCACAGCUUUCAUUGUGUCCCAUAAGUUUGGGUAUGUUGUACCUUCAUUUUCAUUAAAUUCUAAAAAGUCUUUAAUUUCUUUCUUUAUUUCUUCCUUGACCAAGUUAUCAUUGAGUAGAGCAUUGUUCAGUCUCCAUGUACAUAUGGGCUUUAUGUCAUUUUUGUUGUUAUUUAAGACCAGUCUUAGUCCAUGGUGAUCUGAUAGCAUACAUGGGAUUAUUUCAAUCUUCUUGUAUCUGUUGAGGCCUUUUUGUGACUGAUUUUAUGGUAUUAGAAGGUACCAUGAGGUACUGAGGUGAAGAUAUAUUCUUUUGUUUUAGGAUGAAUUGUGCUAUAGAUAUCUGUUAAUUCCAUUUGGUUCAUAACUUCUGUCAGUUUCUCUGUGUCUCUGUUUAGUUUCUGUUUCCAUGAUCUGUCCAUUGAUGAGAGUGGGGUGUUGAAAUCUCCUACUGUUAUUAUGUGAGAUGCAAUGUGUGUUUUGAGCUUUAGUAAGGUUUCUUUUAUGUAUGUAGGUGCCCUUGCAUUUGGAGCAUAGAUAUUUAAGAUUGAGAGUUCAUCUUCGUGGAUUUUUCCUUUAAUGAAUAUGAAGUAUCCUUAUUUUUUUUAUAAUUUUUGGUUGAAAGUCGAUUUUAUUCAAUAUUAGAUUGGCUACUCCAGCUUGUUUCUUGGAGCCAUUUACUUGGAAAAAAAUUUUCCAGUCUUUUACUCUGAGGUAGUGUCUGUCUUUGUCACUGAGGUGUGUUUCCUGUAUGCAGCAAAGUGCUGUUUAUGCAUCCAGUGUGUUAGUCUAUGUCUUUUCAUUGGAGGAAUUGAGUCCAUUGGUGUUGAGAGAUAUCAGGGACCAAUGAUUGUUGUUUCCUAUUAUUUUUGUUGUUAGUGGUUGAAUUAUGUUUAUGUGGCUAUCUUCUUUUGGGUUAAUUGAAAAAAGAUUACUUUCUUGCUUUUCCUGGAGUAUAGUUUCCUUCCUUGGGUUGGAGUUUUCCACCUAUUAUCCUUUGUAGAGUUGGAUUUGUGGAAAGGUGUUAUGUGAAUUUAGUUUAUGGAAUAUGUUGAUUUCUCCAUCUAUGUUAAUUGAAAGUUUUGCUGGAUAUAGUAGCCUGGGCUGGCAUUUGUGUUCUCUUAGAAGACUCUGCCCAGGAUCUUCUGGCUUUCAUAGUCUCUGGUGAGAAGUCUGGCAUAACUCUAAUAGUCUAAAGGUCUGCCUUUAUGUGUUACUUGACCUUUUUCCCUUACUGCUUUUAAUAGUCUUUCUUUGUUUUGUGCAUUUGGUCUUUUGACUAUUAUGUCACAGAAGGAAUUUCCCUUCUGGUCCAAUCUAUUUCGAGUUCUAUAGGCUUCUUGUAUGUUUAUGGACAUCUCUUUCUUUAGGUUAGGGAAGUUUUCUUUUAUAAUUUUUUUGAAGAUAUUUACUGAUCCUUUAAGUUGGGAAUCUUCACUCUCUUCUAUACCUAUUAUCCUUAGGUUUGAUCUUCUCAUUGUGUCCUGGAUUUUCUGGCUGUUUUGGGUUAGAAGCUUUUUGUGUUGCAUUUUCUUUGAUGGUUGUGUCAAUGUUUUCUAUGGUAUCUUCUGUCCCUGAGAUUCUCUCUUCCAUCUCUUGUAUUCUGUUGGUGAUGCUUACGUCUGUGACUCUUGUUUUCUUUUCUAAGUUUUCUAUUUCCAGGAUUGUUCCCUUUGUACUUUCUCUAUUGUUUCUAUUUCCAUUUUUAGAUCCUGGAUGGUUUUGCUCAAUUCCUUCACCUGUUUGGUUGAUUUUUAUGUUCCCUCUUUAAGGACAUCUACCUUUUUAUCUGUGUUGUCCUGUAUUUCUUUAAGGGAGUUAUUUAUGUCUUUCUUAAAGUCUUCUAACAUCAUCAUGAGUCAUGAUUUUAAAUCAAAAUCGUGGUUUUCCAGUAUGCUGGGGUAUCCAGGGUUUACUGUGGUGGUGACACUGGGUUCCCAUGAUUCCAAGUGGCCUUGGUUUCUGUUGCUUAUGUUCUUGCCCUUGCCUCUCGCCAUCUGGCUGUCUCUGGUGUUAGCUGGUCUUGCUGUCUCUGUCAGUGGCUUGACCCUCCUGUGUGUCAGCACCACUGGGAGACCAGCUCUCUCCCAGGGGAAUCUGGGUACAGAGAGCUAUGGCACAGGGUCAGCUCCGGGUGCAGGCAGAAGCCAGAAGGUCAGCUAUUUUUCUGUGAAAAUUAAUAAAGUCAUGUCAUUAAUAUUAAGCUCCAGUUGAUAUUAAGAGCAGGAAAUUGAUCACUGAACUGCAUGUCACCAACUUCCUUUCUCACCUCUCCUUUCUGCUCUGUACUCUGGUGUCAUUGUCAGAGCUCUACAAGUGCCAGGCCCAGUGUGGUCUGGACUUCUCUGGAGAGGAAAGAUGGAGGAACUGGGACAUGUCCCUCCAUGUCCUUCCAUGUCCCUCCACUCACAGCACUAGCUCUUUCUGCUGGCUGUGUUCUCACAGUUCAGGGAGGGAGCGCAUGAGCAACCUUCCUGGUGUAUCUUAAGGGCAUUAAUCCUCUCAUGAGGACCUCAGCUAACUUUAAGAUAUUCCAGAGGUUCCACUUCAAUAUUAAUUCUGAAAGAACAUACACAUGUUCUUCAAAGUGUGUCCACAAUUUUCUUUAAAGAUUAAGAAACUGGGGACAGGGAGUGGGGUGGGGUAGAGGGUGACACCCUGGGGCCUGCCUGCCAAGAGGCUUGCCCUCAGCUACAAUUUGUAAGUAUGCGGUGGGGAGAUGGGAGAGGAAGAGAAGCAGAGUGGUUUGGUGGCUAUGAAGAGAGGCAGAUGGCGGAGAGAAGCAGCCUGCCCUGCCACCUGAGGCCAGGGUAAAAUUCUGAUUCAUGCUGCCUCUGAGCACCAUGUCAGCCACUGCAGCCUUGCAGCUUCAGGAUCUGUCUUCGACUUAUAUUACCAGCCAAAGCCAUGCAGAUGUCCCUGGUUUGGGCUGCUGCCUGGGGUCAUGCUCAUGUUUAAAGGCUGUGCAGAGCUGGCCCCAGCCCUCAGUGGUUGUGGCAUGCAGGAGAGCUGGCCUUGCACUGUGUAUGGAUAGCAUAGUAGAGCUGGCCUUGGGGACAGGAGUGAGGUUGAGUGGUUGGGUGCAGGGUGAACUGGCUUUGCCAUUCCUCUGCUAUGCAGUGCCAGGGGGUGAAGGAGAGGUACCCUUCCCCCAUUCACCCCUCACCACCUGCAGCAGGUGGGAGAGCUGGCCCAACCCCUUUCCAGCAGGAGCAGUCUGGAGAGGACCCUGGACCUUGCAGGAGCCACACAAUAGAUCUGACUCUGGUGGCAAAGGCUCAGGUGAGCUAGUCCUGCCCCUUGCUGGCUGCCCUUGUGGCAGUGCUGGAGAGCUUGCCCUGGUGACGUGGGGUGGGACAGCCGGCUGGCUGAUUAACUCUGCUACUGCACAGGGUUGGCCCAACCCAACAUCUACCCCAUGUAUGAACUGCUGGAGUGUGUGAAGGGGCAGAUCCUGCAGAACCGAAGCUGCAGGAUCUUCAUGACCAGGGCCACAACAGGAUCUCCAAGAGUUCUGGUGAGGACCCAGCAUUGACAGUACAGAAGAAGCCAGAGGCCUCAAAUCACACCAGUGACUCGUUGCCAUGGGCAUUUUCAAGUAAAGAUGUGCGGACAAAAGGGUACAUCGUGUGAACACUGACACACUACAGCUUCCAUGAUGAGAUUUUUUUUUUCUUUUCUUUGGGAGGGAGGUUGCCAAGGGUGGAGGGUGGAGGCAAAGUGACAGGGAGAUGAGUGGGUUCGAGACGCAUGAUGUGAAGUUCACAAAGAAUCAAUAAAACAUUGAAAAGAGAGAAGAAAACUGAGGCUUUGAGAGUUAUCUGCUUCAAGACCCCGGAUAGUAGACUAGAAGAUCAUGAUUCAGAUCCCAGCCUAGCUGCCUCAAGUGGCAAACCAUUAACUCUUGUACCAGAUAGUUCCCAGAGUGCCUGCAUAGAACCUGGUCAUCACACAUGUAGCUGAUUAUGUCAUUGAACUAGCACAGUUUACCAAAUUCCUAUGACUUAUACUAGCUUGUAGGAAAUAGUGUAUACUCUGUAAGUCACAAAAUGUCAGAUGGGGCGCUUUGAAAUACAGAGCUAGCAUGUGUACCUCUUCUUACCGUUCCUACCCAUUAACUCAUUAACUCAUUCCCUCAUUCUGUUUAAAAUGGAUUGCCAAGUGCAAAAGCAGAUCUAGUCAGGGACUGAAGGUCAGAGAGAACACAGGGGACAGGGACACUCAAACCCAGACCCGCUGGCCCUGCCCUGAUGUUCCUGCUCCCCCCACCACAUCACCACACCAGGUAGAACCUGCAGCACUGUCCUUCAGAACUUAGUCCCAGCGAGGGCAGUGCUGGGGGACGGUGCUCCUUCAAUUAUGUCAGGCUCCUCUAAUGUCAUCAGAUUCAUUUACCGGUUCCUCAGAUAAGAGAUCUGAAGGCUUUCCAGUAGCUGUGGCCCCUUUGAAGUGCCUACUUCAAGGGCAGCUCUUUGCCAGUCGGGGCUUUCCAAGUGAAUGAGUGCUUGGGUCAACAGGGAUUGCAGAGCAGACAUCCAAAGCCCUGCCUGGUGGCAGCUGGCUCCAGAGAUAUUUGGAUGACCUCAUCUGUGUAAAAAUAGGCCUUGUAAAGAGCUUGAGCGCAUCUUGUUCUCCUAAGAAAGGUUAAAAAACAUCCUUCCUUUUGUUUGCUCCCUAAUUGCCUUAGCAAUCUCUGCUUAGACUUGAAGGUCCAGAGUAGGCUUGAAAGUCUUGCUAGAGACAAUGGACAAACUGAGGGUUGUGAUUUCAAUGUCUUCUCUAAUUUUACACAACUCACUGGGGUGUUGAGUACUUGAUUAACAACUGACUUUUCUCUGUGUGGUCUGCAUUGGGCAUUUGGUGGGGAGAGGUGGAUUUAUUGGAGAGGGAACCCUGUCCUAGAAGCUUCCUUAAGAAGUACAGCAUCUAGACAUUGAGACACGACCACUAACAGCUGUGAUCAACAUCUCAGUGAUGACUGGAAUGAGGCCAAUGCUGGGCAAAGGUGAGAAGUCCAGGUUGCCCCUGGAAAUGGGCAUUCUGGAAGAUGAGAUUCUGAGAAGCAUUCCAGCACCAGGAGCAAAAGCUCUAGAAUGAAGUCCUCUUGAUGACUCUCUCUAGCCUUUGGUGUUCAUUACCAGCCUUGCAGGUUUCCUGAAUGGACGCCAGGAGGGCUCUGUAAAAACCAACUUAGAGCUUCCUGGGACUGGAGCUGAACACUAGGGCCCAUCUUAGUGUGGCCUAUGCACCUUUAGUGAGGCCAUAGCCAGUGGUUAGUGGGGCAGAGUCCAGCCCUCUUGCUCUGGAAGAAAAGGUAUCCAAGGAACCCUCUGUCCAUGGGGAUAAAGAUGCAGGUCUGAGGGGCCUGCUGGGCCAGCCUUCUGACCUCCUUUGAACAAGGUGGAGUGGGUGCUCCAAGGCACCUUGAGGAAUAGCGACCGUUGUGGGACAUAAAGCAGACUGAGGCUUAAGGUAAGCUUCUCUCACAAUUGGAGAAGCAUUGGAGCCAGGAAGUAAGAGUAUACACACCCAGGCAGCGCCUGAAUAUAGGAGAUGUGCUGAGCCUUGCAGGGUUGGUGUUAGACACACACACACACACACACACACACACACACACACACAAAACACACACCACACACUCACACACCCACACACCCACACUGAACACCCCCACCCCAGCACAGAGAGAGAGAGAGACCCAGACAUGCAGACAGACAGACAGAUACACACAGACACAUACACAGAGACAGACACACAGACAAAGAGACAGACACACAGACAAAGCACACAGAAACAGGCACACAUACACUGAACCCCACCCCCAGCAGAGACAGACACACAGAAAAAAAGGCAGACGACAAACAGAUACACACAGACAUGCAGACAGACAGACAGACACACACACACAUGCGCGCGCACGCGCACAUACACACACAUACACACACAUGCACAUACACACACAUACACACACAUGCACAUACACACACAUACACACACAUGCACAUACACACACAUACACACACAUGCACAUACACACACAUACACACGCACACACACACACACACACACACACACACACACACACACACCACACUUCUUCCUUGUUCCUACCAGCAGGGGCCCUCUCCUCUUGGUUGACUUUGGUUCCUUUUCCUUUUUGAUCUUAAAUUCUUCAUCUCCUCACAGUGACCAGCUUCCUCAAAAACACAGAACUAACAAAUACAGACAGAUGUGUGUGGGUCUCUGUCACCAAAUGACUUGGUUUUCGGUUUGGUUUAUGCAAUUUUCUCAGAAAGGUAUUUUGUCAGGAUAUGGUCCUCAUCUGAAUGUCCCUGUCUUAGAGGUUGGGUGGGCAGACUUUAAAGCAGAUCAUGGUCUCUACAUUCUGUGUUGCUUACCCCUGAAUCAUUCUCACCAUUAUACAGAGUUCUCUGCAAUUGUUUAAAGCCAUCCCCUGUGCAGAGGUGAGCACAGAGGUGAUGUGGAUCUUUGUGAGUCUGUGAUUCCAGGAGACUGUAGCACUCGGCUUGUUCAGAGCCUCCUCUCUAGGAUGCUUACUAUGAAGAAGUAAGCCAUCACCGUGAGACAUAUCUCUGCAAGAAAAUAGGACCUGUCACCUGCCGGGGAGAGCUUGGAAGCAAAGCUUUCCCUAAUGCAGGCCUCCGAUACAAAGGAGUUCCCUUGAGGCUCUGAUGCCAGUGCAGAGCGGAGGGCCUGGCUCAGCUGUGUGUACACUCCUGGCUCUCAAAGCUGUGAGACCACAAGCAUGUCCUGUUUUCGGAUGCUAAGUUUCUGAGGAUUUGUUACACAGCUUUGGGUAGCUAGGAGUGGGAGGCACUGUCACAGAGCUUCCGGGAAGGAGCCAGGAAAGGGUAGAUGAUGAGGAGAAAUGGCUGAUCACUUUACACUUUCUUCCUUGCAGCCCUUCCGAUCAUUCUCAAAGGCUCACUGGUGGAACACACACGUCCCCGAACCCCAGCCUUUAAGAGGGCUUUGUUAUUGGUAUCUGCUUCUUGUGUGUUCACAGGAGAGCAUUUUGUAUUAGAGAACCCCCACCAUGGGUUUCUACCACAAUGGGUUUAUAUUCCUGUUAGCGGCUUCCACAUGCAAAUGAUUAGAUGUUGCCGGGGUGUCAGCUAACUCUCUCCAGAGUAGCAUUUACAAUGCAUGCGCACAAACACACCAGCUCCUGCAGACUAUUCACAUGCAGCUCUGCUUGUCUAUUAAGAACACAGAAAAUAAGUCACCAUGUAACACAAAGAAAAGUACAUGGUUAUCUCAACCUUCAUUGCGGGACCCCGAGAUAAUUUGGGGCAAGGGGAUCAGAGAAGGUUGCUCAGAGGAAAUGGGGUACAAGCUGGACAUUGAAGACUAAAAAGAGGGUAUCUGCCAGAAGAUGGGUGUGAGCAUGAGAAACUGGGCGAGGGAGUAAGGCUCUGUCAAAACAAACAGCCUGGCAAAGACAGGGAGAGAAAGAGGUUGGUGUCUCUGAAGAGUGGAAUAGAGCGCAUCGUCUAGGAAACAAGGCAGAUGAGACAGGACUGAGGCCGACAAUGGUUGGGCCAUAUACUCCUUGAGGAACCUACCUGAGACCCCAUGUUUAUUCUGAAGAUGUUUCAGUGUGGAUGAAGGAAGAUUUUCUGUCUCUGUUAGAAGAUUAAAAACUGGGAGGGUUAAGGAGGCCACUGAACACUGAGAGCACAGAUCCUUGGCGGAGCACGGGGAGAACACAGAAGGGGUGAGCCAAGUUCAUAGCCAUGGGAAUUAGGACAGAAGAAGGACUUCUCAAUGAGGUGGCAAAGAACUCUUUUUGAACUGAGAGGCAUGGAGAGUUCUAAAGCCCCGGUUCUUAGACCAGCUUAAGAAUGAGAAGCCACAGUUCCCCUUCCAUGUACACACACACACACACACACACACACACACACACACACACAAACCAACAUACAACACACAUACCAACAUACAACACACACACCAACAUACAACACACAACAAUACAUACAUGCAUGCAUGCAUAUAUAUGCAUACAUACAACACACAUAAUACAAUAGACACACACCACAUACAACAGACACAAUAUACAACACACACAACAUAUAUACUCAUACAACACACACCAUAUACAACACACAUAUCACAUAGAACACACACACACACACAUACACACACACACAAACACACGUGCAUGUAUGCGUGGACAUCCCCUCCCAGAGUAAAUGCUUUAGGAGCUUACAUUUUAUGAAGAUGAGAACCUACCACUUACUAGUUCACACAUCCAAGGGUGGGCAGAGGGGAUGGACAGUCUUGAAGGCCAGAGCUCUGGGUGUCCUGGGUCCCUUGCUAACCAAUCUGGCCCUCAGCACCUCUCUGGUACUUGCUUUGGUGUGGUUUUAAUGUGUCCCUCAAGUGUGGCAAUUUAAGAUAGAACAUACUAUUGUAGGAGGUUAAUCCUCAGAAAAGAUUGAUACAGUUUUUGAAAUGCCUCAGAGAGUUCUCUUGAGGGGAUUACCACAAAAGAACAAGGUUGACCCCCUCCCCAUUCUGUGUGUAAUCCUUGUACACCAUUAUAUAAUCAGUCUUGUGUGAUGAAGUCAGAGGGACCCUUGUUAGAGUGUGUACAAUGCAGCUUACAAAUCUAUGAACUAAACUUACCUCUUUACUUAUAAAGUGCCCAGCUUCUGGUAUUUUGUCAUAGUAAUAGGAACACACAAUUAAUUGGUCAGGGAAAUGGAGGAUCAAUGGCUCCAACAGGAAGGGUUCUCCACACUGUCAUCAGCCAUCAUUGCUGCUGUUAGACUCAGCAGUGAGCCUCUGUGACCAGUACAACGGUCCUAAUUGAAGAUACCGUGAAGUCAAAUGGCCCAAAGGCUUGUAGCUACUGUUGCUGCCUUUAUCUGCCAGUUUCCCCCGAUCACACUGCUGUUGUCCUCAUGAACUCUUCCUACUCACUGCAGUGGUUUUAAUUAGACUCGUUUCCUGUUUUCUCCCCACAGAGACCAACCCGAGAAAGAUGUCUGAUUGCACUAAUGCCUUGAGAAAGGGGUGGGGAGAGAGAGAAAAGAAGACUCUCAAAGCUAAUGCCUGGCACGGAGAAGCUUGGGUCAGAGUAGACAGGUCACUCCAGGGAAGACUGCAGGAGAGGAGACAAGACAGCCUGGUAGGCAGACCCUGUCCUAGCUACGACUCAUACAUCUGCAUUCAGCAGGGCAGCCAGGGUUAGCUUGCACUUGAUCUGGAGAGACCACCCACCCCUUGCUGAAGUCUGGGGUUUAUCUCUAGUCUUGCGUCAGCCUAGUGGUGUAUCUGAUUCUCUGCUUCCUGUAUGGUUUUGGCUGGGGAGAACCUCUAUGAGUAUUAGAAGUGCCAACCUAAUGAUGUUACGUUAGGAAGGCCGUGGGCUGUUGAAGGUGUUAAGAGUAGAAUCUGAUGUGAAGGCUAAGGUUACCUCAGAGUUGAGGUCACUGACCCAGCAGAUAUUUUAGGUGUUCCAGAGUAAGUGGGUUGGUGAACUGACUUUUAAUAUUCAGUUUUGGGGAAGUGCGAUAUGACAGAAGCAGAGAAAAUUCUGUCAGAGCUACUAAAGGGCCACGUAGUCUAGUCGGGCUGUGUCUGCGUCAGCCAAAGGCGUACGUCCACGUUAUAUAAGUCAUCUGUUUCUUCUCCAGGAGAGUGGAGCUAAGAGCCCAUACCAUGUCUGUGCAAUGGGAAAUACACAGGGUAGUCUAUUCUGGCCAAAUGGCAUCAGAAGUUUAGAUCCAGAAAAGACCAAAUCAGCCAUGUGGGCACCUGUGUGGUGAAGUAGGUAGGCAGCUGUAGUAUAAACCUGAGUUUUCCCAGAAGGCUCAUGGGUGUUUUCCAUAAGCUCCCUGCUGGCGUUGCUGUCUUAGAGAAUACAGCACAGCACCUUCAGGAGGUGUGGCCUAGCUGGCUAAGGUAAGCUAUAGCCCAGCUCUGGGUUUUGGUAACCUUUGCUUCCUCGUUUACCACCAUGUGAAUGGAUUCUGCCAUGUGUGCCUUCUUACGGAGUCCCCGUUAUGUCUCCCUCACCAUGAGCCAAAAUAAGCCCCUCCCUCUUAAGUUGUCUCUGUCAGACCCCCUAAGUCACAAGGACAUACACAGGUCAACUCCCUGAGCGUCAGCACAAGAAGCCUAGCUUGUUUAGUCUAGAAUACCCAGUCCUGUUAUUUACUAGAUGUUCAAUGGUGGCCCUUGCUUUGAAUUCCAAGUUUCCUCAUGUAAGAACCGAAAACUCAAAUAGUGUCUGACUCACCAGCUUGUCUUGAAAGGUGAGUUAGCAUAUCGUGGCAGAAGCUCCUCAGACACACUGCAAACCUCUAUUCUACAUCUGGUCACCAGCAGGCACUUUCCAAUCCCCAGGAAUCCAGAUAAGAUUCUGUGACUCUUUGAUCUAGGGAAAGUGGGUUCAACUGGGUUUUUUUCCAUAUAGUCCCCCUUGAACAUCUAAAUUUCCUUCCUCCUCUGCUAGGUGGAUGCACAGGACUCAGGAGUGAAGCAGAGUGGUCAGGGACGGCACAGCCAGGAGGAAUGAGCCUUGGUCCAUGUGGAACAUACCAUUCCUUUCUCUCCUGACAAUCUGUGUUGGAUUACAGUUUGGGCUAUUGGAAUUCUAGCAUUGUAUGUUAAAGCAGUCUCCUCUGACGAGUUUGCUCUUGGGAAUCACCUGGUAAUCCCUCAGUAAAUUUUAGUCAUUUCCAUGAUGGUGAUUAUUAUGUACUCCUUAGAAAUGCUAAGUGUUGAACUGAACAUUUUGCUCUCUAACUAGAACAUCUCCCCUGAAUCUCCGAAUCCUUUGGAAAUAGAAAUGAAUCAUUUCUUCAUGCCUUUACUCCCCAUAUAAACAUUCGAUGGGCACCCGCUGUUUAUACAGUCCUGUUAGCUGAAGACAGAGAGAUAAUAAUAUCUCUAUGGGACCUCGGGCUUCACAGAGAGGCUGGCCUACCACUAUCGGCAGGUGUUAGCUGUAGAACGAAAGUGUGCCUAAACUCUCUCUCCCUCUCACUGUCUCUUUCUCCUUCUUUCCCUCCCGGUCUCUCACUUUCUUGCUCUCUAUUUCUCUGCCAUCAAAGGCUGUAGCUUCUGACAGAAUCCUUAAGAGGCCAUUCAAACUGUUUCCAAGUUGUACUCAGGGUAGCUCUGUGGGAAAGUUUGCUGGGUUCUGAGACAAACUCACCUUGACUUUCUCUGGUCAAGGAAAGACAGGAGGGUUCAUAGGAGCUCACUGCCAUGAAAAGCAAAUGUGUUAACAGGCUGUUGUCCUGUGGCCUCUGGGAACCUUCCAUCCCCUUCUUCCUCACUGCUUCUCUCCAUGACUGUGCCCUUCCUUGUCUAUUCCUUCCGGAAUAUGUCGUUACAUCCUGUUGUCCAAUGGCAGGGAUGCAGAACCUCAGUUGUGCUGAGGUAGAGCUGGUUCCCUUCUACCUUGCACCUCCCUGCCUGGAACUCAGCUCUUCUCUUUGUAGGGAGUUCCAAGCUCUGGACAGGCAGCAACCCCCUCCAUCCUCAUAGACAGCACUGACAGACCUGGAGCCUCACUGUGGUCAUCUCGAACCCAUGUACACCUUCAUAAACUUUUCCAGCACGGGCUUCCAGGCAGCUGGACUUGGGCCAGGAAGGAAAUGAUCUCCAGGUAUCUUUGGUAACAGCCAUCAUCUUCCACCCCCACACAUUUAUUUUUAAAUCACUCUGUGAUGUGCACUUUGAUAAGCAACGUGUGGGCGGGAUGAUGGCUGUUACUCAUGUGCCUCAUCUUUCAGGAAGAGCUCUGUAAAUAUUUGAGGCCUGAAGAAGACCCUCUGGCUGCUGAGUUCCUCUCCCCAUCCCUCCGAGAGAAGCUCUCUCCUUUUGAGUCUCUCACUCUGCAUGUGUGACCUGGAACUAGGCACCCAUGUGAGUUCACCUUCUCCGUCUCUCCACUCUGGAAUAAACAACUCCAGAUAUGGCUGUGGAGUCCUCCACAGAGGGCAGCUGCCAGGCAAGAGACCUGUCCUGGAAGACCUUCUGGGAAAACCAAGAGAAGAGCUUUGGACUUGUUUGUGGAUAACCGGUUAUCUCACAGGAUUCCGAAUCCCAACCAUGAAUCUUUCCUUUUGAACCUAUCAUUAGGUCUGAUUUUGUGCCAGCCCAACUCUGAAGCAAGCCUGUGUUAGCAAGCCUGUUCAUUCAUUGUUAUUUUUAGGGCAGUUCUGUUUCUCAUUGACUGGGGCCCACUGGGCCCCUCCCAUGCUUUGUCACACUCGGGACAGUCAGCUUGGCAGCACACCAAAAGCCAUGCUUACCCAGAGGUGCCCUCGCCUGCCUCUUCUGACAGGCAGGUACCGGCCUGAGCUAAAGCUGCCUUUGUUUUGUCACCGUGGGUUACUUUUCCUUGGGCUUGGAUGGCUCAGCAGAAGUUGCUCUGCAGGGUACAAGCCCCAAGCAGCACAGUUUAUAUUGGAGCUGGUGUACACUGUUCUAGUACUCGGGGGCCGGGGUGGUGGGGGGAGAAGGGUCACACACAGCUGUCUGAUUCGUAAGCUAGGAGCCCUUCCCCAGUAACAGUAGUGCUGACAGGAGCAGGUGAGCAGAGGGAGCCAAUAAAGGCCGAACAGACACCUGCUUGUCUUGGAAAGCCACCCUCAGGCAUCAUGGGAAAAAAUGAGAGACACCAAAGGAAAACAAAAGAAAGUGGCAUGUAAAUCAGGUCAAACACAGCUACCACCCACUUCUUCCCCUCCCUCCUCACUCUCUGAGCCUGGUAACCUCCGUCCUGCUCUUACCUUCUGUGACACCAACUGUCUCCGAUGCCACAGAGAGUGUGGGACUUGUGCUUUCACGCUUGGCUUAAUUCGCUCAACCUAGUGAGCUCCACUUGCAGCCACGCUAUCACACAUUCUUUUUGUGGCUGCAUAGUAUUCUGCUGCAUGCAUGGACCAUGUUUUUCCUAUCCAUCUAUCAGGUAAUGAACACUGUUCCAACUGUUCUUGGGCACUGUACCUGGUACCUCAGGAGCACAGGAGCUGAUUUAAUGUCCUUUACAUGUUUGUUCAUAUUGACAUUAUUAAUGUCAAUAUUUAAUAAUUAAUUUAAUAAUUAACUUAAUAGUUAAUGAAAAUACAAGAUAUUCCAUUAAUGUGUUCAAUGUUAUAUCUUUUGGACUAAAGUUAGAAAUCUAAUUUAAACUUGCAGAAAAUAGUAAUAAGGUUGGAGAGCACUGAAUACCCUUCCCAGGGACCUGGGUUUGAUUCCCAGCACCCACAUGGUGACUCAUAACUGUGUAUAACUCCAGUUCCAAAGGAUUUAACACACACACUCACACACACACUCACACACACACAGACACACACAGACAUACACACACAGACACACACACACUCACACACUCACACACACACACUCACACACACUCUCGUGUAUACACACACACACACACACACACACACACACACACAGUGCUGCUUUGGUGGCUGCUGUGGACCUGUUUUACCCUCAGGGUCUCCUCUUUCAUCUCAGUCCUUCUUAAAGUGUCUGCAGAGCUGUCUACAACUCCUGACUUUCCUUCCUCAGAGCUCCCAGGGACUUCCCUCCAAGACUGUGUCUUCCUGUCCUCCAUCCUCAAGGCGGCUGAUUUCCUGGGGAUCAUCAAACACACGUGUGCCAAGAACCUCACACAGACUGUGAGGUCCUUCGAUCUCUCUGGGACAGCCAGAAUUUUGCAGACUGAGAAACAUGUAGAGGAAGCUGGGUCUCUGAAGCUAGUGGAGUUCUGGUCUCCUCUUGCUCUGCGAGAACACGCUCUACCAAGCCUCCUCUUUCAGAAAUUUCAGGAACAAGGGCUACCAAUCUUCAUGUUCAUUUACAUCUCAAAACUUCAGAGUAGACAUGGAAGAGCCUUUCAAGAACUUCCUCCUCAUGCUCUUCUUCAAUAUGGAUUUGCAGAUUCUGUGUGGCAAAAAGAAUCUCUAAGACACUCCACUGUCCAUGAGAGAUGCUAGAAUGUCCUUGGCUUGGGCAGGAUUGUGGAGCACCCUUCUACCAUUCCUGGGGAUUUACCACUAAUGGCACAGGAAGUUACAGACUUCAACUCUAAUCCGACCCUUCGCCUCCUUCUCUUCCUUCUCCCAAGUCUCUUUGUAUAGAGAGUAGGGAGGAAAUGAGACAUGGACCUAGAUCAGUUCUGCUGCCUCUUAGGACGUUGGGCAUCAGAGCAGGGGCCAGAGAUGUCUACCGUGAAUAGAGGUGUGCUCUUUGUGUUCAAUUUUACUUAGCUGUAAUUUACAUUUUUAUACUUAUUUAUGUCUGUACAUGUUGUAUAUAUACGUUGUGUGUAUUGUGUGUGUUGUAUGUAUGUUAUGCGUGUGUUGUAUGUGCUAUGUGUGCAUGUGUGUUGUGUGUAUACAUGUAUGUGUUUUAUGUGUGUUAUGUGUGCAUGUAUGUGUGUUGUCCGUGUGUGUAUUAUAUGUGUAUGGUGUGUGUGUUGUGUGUGCAUGCAUGUGUUGUGUGUGUUGUGUGUACAUGUAUGUUCUGUGUGCAUACAUGUGUGGUCUGUGUGUGUUGUAUGUGUGUGUAUUAUAUUGUGUAUGUGUUGUGUGUGCUAUGUGUGCAUGCAUGUGUUGUAUGUGUUGAAUGUGUAUACAUGUAUAUUGUGUGUGCACGUGUGUGUGUGUGUGUGUGUGUGUGUACAUAGUCCAUGGCACACAUGUGGAAGUCAGAGGAAAACUUGAAGGGGUCAGUGCUCUCCUUCCACUACAUGGGGCUGAAGAUGAAACUCAAAUUGGCAGCAAGUCCCUUUGCCUGCUGAGCCACCUUGCUGGCCCUAAUGUGUUCUUUUUAUUUUUUAGAUUCUCCUGGAACACUCAAAACACUGUAACAUUUUUGAACAAACUUCCGAUAUUAGUGCAGAAAUGUUUAUUUUCUACAAGAUAAAAAUGGGGGCCACGUUCCAUUGUUUUUCUAAGGAAGCAGAGAAAGAUAUGAACAUAGAAAGGCAGUAGCCUGAGACUCUGUUGGAGAAGGGUUGGGCAUGAAGGUGGUGAAAUCUCAUGGUGGAGAUUAUGUACAUCCUGACGCCCAUGUGAAGCCCUUCACAUGAAAACAACCAUAUUUAGUUAAGGUUCCUGUCUUUAUGAGAUAGAACUGUGUGGUAAGGCAGAGGUUUCUGCUGUGUGUCCAUGUGUCUGUGUGUCCUUGUGUCAGGAAACACAUAGAGCAGUGGGAGUGAGUGGAGAGGAAGGUGGGAAGACAAAUGGAUGGGGUGCGUUAGAGAUAUGGAAACUGGCAAAAAUGCCUCACCCCAAACUAUAGCAUCGGCCUCUCGGCUGCCUAAUUGUUUAACCAUUGGUGCAUUUGUCCUUCAUGUUCAAAUUAAUUUUCUAAAAGCACUUAGAAGAGCAGGAGUCAGAAGUUUGAAUUCAUGUCUCCGUCCUCUCAUGCAAAACUGUCAACUCUGUCCAACUCACGUGCCUUCCUGGCUUCUCCUAAGCCGACUUCAUAAAUGUGCACAGCAGUGGGGAUCUGGAUGGUGGGAUUGUUCCCUCUGAGGAAGAGACGCUUUGUGUAUGGCUGCUUUUUCGAUAGCUGGAACACGAUCUUUCUCUUGGUCUACUUUUUUUUUCACUUUGGAGGAAUGCCCAAUAGAUAUGAUUGUUUGUCAUUUAAAUAAAGAGCAAAUGUGUCUGCAGACGUAGAGGUGAUAAUCUAGAAAGAUCUUGUUGUCCCUGAGGGACAUUUGCUUUAUCCUUUGUCACAGCCGAGGAAAAGAAAUUUAAUAGAGGUAUGUUGAAAGGAAUACAUUGCUUUUUUUGUAAUAUUAUGAGCAGGAGCCAAAUGACUUCUCUUAAUUCUCUGUUCCUUAACAAGCAUAGAAAGAAAAAACUCAGAGUAUUUAAAUGAGAUAUUUAUAUACACCAAAAGAAUAUUUAUACCAUGUGAAUAAAGCACUAAAAAAAGACAAAACUGGGGCUAAAGAGAUGCUUCCGCAGCUAAAAGUGUUUGAUGCUCUCGCAGAGGACCUGAGCUUGGUUCCAAGCACCCACCUACAUCAGUUGGUCCUCAGCUACCUGUGACUCCAGUUUCAAGGGGUCUGAUUCUGUCUUUUGACCUCCAUACGUACCUACCUACAUACCUACACACACACACACACACACACACACACACACACACACACACACACACACACAAAUACAUCUUAAAAAAAAGAAAAAAGCCAAAGUGAACAUCUUUGUAUUUGGUACCCCAAAAGGACAGAAGGACAGAGCUGAUCCUCAUUGGGCUCUCUGAAGGCAUAGGAAGUCCUCAGGCUACCCCUCUCCCUCCCUCUGCUGUGACUACACUUUUCUCUUUAAGGGCUUUGGGAAAAGCUGUGUUCAAUAAACAUCACCUGAGACCUAAGUGGGCUCACCUCGUGCUGAGUGUGAUGUUUCCACCAGCAGCCUGUUAGUUUCAGUUUGCACGGAUGAGGUUUGCCCACGUGGGUUCACAUGAUCUGCCCCAGGCAGACCAAAGGUACAGUGUUGCAUGAACACACAGGCGUGUGCUAACGAUUCUCACAGGAAAAACUGGGCCAUUCUCCACGUGCGCCUCUACAUUCUGUGUGAGUUUCGAACAUCACUGUCCAUGCCUUCUGAUGUACAAGGGGCAGCGGUUUCUCUAAGUUUCGAUCCAUGUGACAAAAUAGCUUGUCUUUAAAGUAGAGCACAUUCACUUCACUAGAGAAUGCCAGAUGGCGUUUCAGGUUCUGAUGGUCCGUCUGUCUUCCAGCGGUGGACAGACAAUGCCAGUGUCUCUUAAUUCACCAGCUAUGAACUGCCAGGCUUCUGGGAAUGUCCAGAGUGGCGCCUGAGUGACAUCUUUUUAAUGAAAGCGAUCAGGUAUCCGUGUGUACUUACAUCCAUUUCUGUCCUGUGUGUAUGCACCCAGGUCUCAUCGGGUUACCUGUUUCAUUCUGCUGUAAGUUCAGAUAUGAAUGCCUUCGAUGAACAGAAAUCCCUCCAGGUAUCUGUAGAGAGACUAUCUUGUGUAUUACAUGGGUGUAUCAGCUGUUAAUUAAAAAGCCCUGUGGCCUAGAGGAAAGGGUUGAAUAGGAAAUGGAACACCCAGGAGGCAAAAAGAAUUCUGGGAUAGAGCCAGGCACGGGAGAUUCACCUAGGAAACUGUGCUGAGACAUACGCAAUAUGGUACCCAAGCACAGGUUACCAGCCGCACAACAGAAUAAAAUAAGUGGGUUGUUUUAAGUUAUGAUCUAUUUGGAGAAGAGCCUAACUGUAUGACUGAGGUAUUUGCAAAUAUAUUUUGAGUCCGAGUCUAAUUUCUGGGACUGGAGCUGGGAGGAAGAACGAGACCAAACUUGUACAAACUUGUAUCUCAGUGAAGAUGUAUAUUCCAGUUUGUAGACUCACUUUUCACUUUAAAACAGUAUGUAUUUCUUUCCUGUGUGUGUAUAUGUGUGUGCAGUUACUUACAGAAGCCAGAAGAGGAGCUAGUCCCCUGGAGCAAGAGUUAACAGUUGUUCUUGACAUGGUGGAAACUGAAUUUUAGUUCUCUUUAAGGGCAUCUUGGUAAGAGCAACUGAACUCCUGCCAUCUCUCCAGCCCUUCACGUUCUGUUGCCCUAUUCCAAACAGAGAAGAUAUUCUCCCUUUUAAGGAAUGUAAUUCUUGAGUUGAUUAUAACUGAACUUAUCAGUCUUUCAUUAUGAUUCCUAUGCAGUAUUAGAAGUUCUAUGCGGGUCUCUGCUCCCAAACCCCUUGGGACAGAGACCUCACCGCCUGGUCAGGUGGGCACUCCUGAGGCUGCAGAGCGGAAGAGACCACCAACACUGCCCACCCCUGCUCACAUCCCUGGCCCAAGAGGAAACUGUAUAAGGCCUCUGGGUCCCCGUAGAGGAGGGCCCAGGAGCAGCAGAUCCACUGCGUCUGAGACACCGCCAGAACUUGAAGGGACUGACUGGAUAAACAGUUCUCUGCACCCAAAUCCCGUGGGAGGGAGAGCUAAACCUUCAGAGAGGCAGACACACCUGGGAAACCAGAAGAGACUGCACUCUGCACACAUCUCUGACGCCAGAGGAAAACAGCAAACACCAUCUGGAACCCUGGUGCACAGAAGCUCCUGGAAAGGGCGGCGCAGAUCUUCCUGGUUGCUGCCGCUGCAGAGAGCUCGUAGGCAGCACCCCACGAGGAAACUUGAGCCUCGGGACCAGAGGUAAGACCAACUUUUCUGCUGCAAGUGACCUGCCUGGUGAACUCAAGACACAAGCCCACAGGAACAGCUGAAGACCUGUAGAUAGGAAAAACUACACGCCCGAAAGCAGAACACUCUGUCCCCAUAACUGGCUGAAAGAAAACAGGAAAACAGGUCUACAGCACUCCUGACACACAGGCUUAUAGGACAGUCUAGCCACUGUCAGAAAUAGCAGAACAAAGUAACACUAGAGAUAAUAUGAUGGCGAGAGGCAAGCACAGGAACCCAAGCAACAGAAACCAAGACUACAUGGCAUCAUCGGAGCCCAAUUCUCCCACCAAAUCAAACACGGAAUAUUCAAACACACCAGCAAAGCAAGAUCUAGUUUCAAAAGCAUAUUUGAUCAUGAUGCUGGAGGACUUCAAGAAAGACGUGAAGAACUCCCUUAGAGAACAAGUAGAAGCCUACAGAGAGGAAUCGCAAAAAUCCCUGAAAGAAUUCCAGGAAAACAUAAAUAAACAAGUAGAAGCCCAUAGAGAGGAGUCAAAAAAUCCCUGAAAGAAUUCCAGGAAAACAUAAAUAAACAAGUAGAAGCCCAUAGAGAGGAGUCACAAAAAUCCCUGAAAGAAUUCCAGGAAAACACAAUCAAACAGUUGAAGGAAUUAAAAAUGGAAAUAGAAGCAAUCAAGAAAGAACACAUGGAAACAGCCCUGGAUAUAGAAAACCAAAAGAAGAGACAAGGAGCUGUAGAUAUGAGCUUCACCAACAGAAUACAAGAGAUGGAAGAGAGAAUCUCAGGAGCAGAAGAUUCCAUAGAAAUCAUUGACUCAACUGUCAAAGAUAAUGUAAAGCAGAAAAAGCUACUGGUCCAAAACAUACAGGAAAUCCAGGACUCAAUGAGAAGAUCAAACCUAAGGAUAGUAGGUAUAGAAGAGAGUGAAGACUCCCAGCUCAAAGGACCAGUAAAUAUCUUCAACAAAAUCAUAGAAGAAAACAUGCCUAACCUAAAAAAAGAGAUACCCUUAGGCAUACAAGAAGCCUACAGAACUCCAAAUAGAUUGGACCAGAAAAGAAACACCUCCCGUCACAUAAUAGUCAAAACACCAAACACACAAAAUAAAGAAAGAAUAUUAAAAGCAGUAAGGGAAAAAGGUCAAGUAACAUAUAAAGGCAGACCUAUCAGAAUCACACCAGAUUUUUCGCCAGAAACUAUGAAAGCCAGAAGAUCCUGGACAGAUGUCAUACAGACCCUAAGAGAACACAAAUGCCAGCCCAGGUUACUGUAUCCUGCAAAACUCUCAAUUAACAUAGAUGGAGAAACCAAGAUAUUCCAUGAAAAAACCAAAUUUACACAAUAUCUUUCUACAAAUCCAGCACUACAAAGGAUAAUAAAUGGUAAAGCCCAACAUAAGGAGGCAAGCUAUACCCUAGAAGAAGCAAGAAACUAAUCGUCUUGGGAAGAAAACAAAGAGAAGAAAAGCACACAAACAUAACCUCAUAUCCAAAUAUGAAUAUAACAGGAAGCAAUAAUUACUAUUCCUUAAUAUCUCUCAACAUCAAUGGCCUCAACUCCCCAAUAAAAAGACAUAGAUUAACAAACUGGAUAUGCAACGAGGACCCUACAUUCUGCUGCCUACAGGAAACAGACCUCAGAGACAAAGACAGACACUACCUCAGAGUGAAAGGCUGGAAAACAACUUUCCAAGCAAAUGGUCAGAAGAAGCAAGCUGGAGUAGCCAUUCUAAUAUCAAAUAAAAUCAAUUUUCAACUAAAAUUCAUCAAAAAAGAUAAGGAAGGACACUUCAUAUUCAUCAAAGGAAAAAUCCACCAAGAUGAACUCUCAAUCCUAAAUAUCUAUGCCCCAAAUACAAGGGCACCUACAUACAUAAAAGAAACCUUACUAAAGCUCAAAACACACAUUGCACCUCACACAAUAAUAGUAGGAGAUUUCAACACCCCACUCUCAUCAAUGGACAGAUCAUGGAAACAGAAAUUAAACAGAGACGUAGACAGACUAAGAGAAAAGUCAUGAGCCAAAUGGACUUAACAGAUAUUUAUAGAACAUUCUAUCCUAAAGCAAAAGGAUAUACCUUCUUCUCAGCUCCUCAUGGUACUUUCUCCAAAUAUAAUUGGUCAAAAAACGGGCCUCAACAGGUACAGAAAGAUAGAAAUAAUCCCAUGCGUGCUAUCAGACCACCACGGCCUAAAACUGGUCUUCAAUAAUAAUAAGGGAAGAAUGCCCACAUAUACGUGGAAAUUGAACAAUGCUCUACUCAAUGAUAACCUGGUCAAGGAAGAAAUAAAGAAAGAAAUUAAAAACUUUUUAGAAUUUAAUGAAAAUGAAGGUACAACAUACCCAAACUUAUGGGACACAAUGAAAGCUGUGCUAAGAGGAAAACUCAUAGCGCUGAGUGCGUGCAGAAAGAAACAGGAAAGAGCAUAUGUCAGCAGCUUGACAGCACACCUAAAAGCUCUAGAACAAAAAGAAGCAAAUACACCCAGGAGGAGUAGAAGGCAGGAAAUAAUCAAACUCAGAGCUGAAAUCAACCAAGUAGAAACAAAAAGGACCACAGAAAGAAUCAACAGAACCAAAAGUUGGUUCUUUGAGAAAAUCAACAAGAUAGAUAAACCCUUAGCCAGACUAACGAGAGGACACAGAGAGUGUGUCCAAAUUAACAAAAUCAGAAAUGAAAAGGGAGACAUAACUACAGAUUCAGAGGAAAUUCAAAAAAAUCAUCAGAUCUUACUAUAAAAUCCUAUAUUCAACAAAACUUGAAAACCUGCAGGAAAUGGACAAUUUCCUAGACAGAUACCAGGUGCCGAAGUUAAAUCAGGAACAGAUAAACCAGUUAAACAACCCCAUAACUCCUAAGGAAAUAGAAGCAGUCAUUAAAGGUCUCCCAACCAAAUAGAGCCCAGGUCCAGACGGGUUUAGUGCAGAAUUCUAUCAGACCUUCAUAGAAGACCUCAUACCAAUAUUAUCCAAACUAUUCCACAAAAUUGAAACAGAUGGAGCACUACCGAAUUCCUUCUAUGAAGCCACAAUUACUCUUAUACCUAAACCACACAAAGACCCAACAAAGAAAGAGAACUUCAGACCAAUUUCCCUUAUGAAUAUCGACGCAAAAAUACUCAAUAAAAUUCUGGCAAACCGAAUUCAAGUGCACAUCAAAACAAUCAUCCACCAUGAUCAAGUAGGCUUUAUCCCAGGCAUGCAGGGAUGGUUUAAUAUACGGAAAACCAUCAACGUGAUCCAUUAUAUAAACAAACUGAAAGAACAAAACCACAUGAUCAUUUCAUUAGAUGCUGAGAAAGCAUUUGACAAAAUUCAACACCCCUUCAUGAUAAAAGUCCUGGAAAGAAUAGGAAUUCAAGGCCCAUACCUAAACAUGGUAAAAGCCAUAUAGAGCAAACCAGUUGCUAACAUUAAAUUAAAUGGAGAGAAACUUGAAGCAAUCCCACUAAAAUCAGGGACUAGACAAGGCUGCCCACUCUCUCCCUACUUAUUCAAUAUAGUUCUUGAAGUUCUAGCCAGAGCAAUCAGACAGCAAAAGGAGGUCAAGGGGAUACAGAUCGGAAAAGAAGAGGUCAAAAUAUCACUAUUUGCAAAUGAUAUGAUAGUUUAUUUAAGUGAUCCCAAAAGUUCCACCAGAGAACUACUAAAGCUGAUAAACAACUUCAGCAAAGUGGCUGGGUAUAAAAUUAACUCAAAUAAAUCAGUAGCCUUCCUCUACACAAAAGAGAAACAAAUCGAGAAAGAAAUUAGGGAAACGACACCCUUCAUAAUAGACCCAAAUAAUAUAAAAUACCUCGGUGUGACUUUAACCAAGCAAGUAAAAGAUUUGUACAAUAAGAACUUCAAGACUCUGAUGAAAGAAAUUGAAGAAGACCUCAGAAGAUGGAAAGAUCUCCCAUGCUCAUGGAUUGGCAGGAUUAAUAUAGUAAAAAUGGCCAUUUUACCAACAGCGAUCUACAGAUUCAAUGCAAUCCACAUCAAAAUACCAAUCCAAUUCUUCAAAGAGCUAGACAGAACAAUUUUCAAAUUCAUCUGGAAUAACAAAAGACACAGGAUAGCUAAAACUAUCCUCAACAAUAAAAGGACUUCAGGGGGAAUCACUAUCCCUGAACUCAAGCAGUAUUACAGAGCAAUAGUGAUAAAAAGUGCAUGGUAUUGGUAGAGAGACAGAUAGAUAGACCAAUGAAACAGAAUUGAAGACCCAGAAAUGAACCCACACACCUGUGGGCACUUGAUUUUUGACAAAGGAGCCAAAACCAUCCAAUGGAAAAAAGACAGCAUUUUCAGCAAAUGGUGCUGGUUCAACUGGAGGUCAACAUGUAGAAGAAUGCAGAUCGAUCCAUGCUCAUCACCGUGUACAAAGCUUAAGUCCAAGUGGAUCAAGGACCUCCACAUCAAACCAGAUACACUCAAACUAAUAGAAGAAAAACUAGGGAAGCAUCUGGAACACAUGGGCAGUGGAAAAAAUUUCCUGAACAAAACACCAAUGGCUUAUGCUCUAAGAUCAAGAAUCGACAAAUGGGAUCUCAUAAAACUGCAAAGCUUCUGUAAGGCAAAGGACACUGUGGUUAGGACAAAACGGCAACCAACAGAUUGGGAAAAGAUCUUUACCAAUCCUACAACAGAUAGAGGCCUUAUAUCCAAAAUAUACAAAGAACUCAAGAAGUUAGACCGCAGGGAGACAAAUAACCCUAUUAAAAAAUGGGGUUCAUAGCUAAACAAAGAAUUCACAGCUGAGGAAUGCCGAAUGGCUGAGAAACACCUAAAGAAAUGUUCAACAUCUUUAGUCAUAAGGGAAAUGCAAAUCAAAACAACCCUGAGAUUUCACCUCACACCAGUGAGAAUGGCUAAGAUCAAAAACUCAGAUGACAGCAGAUGCUGGUGAGGAUGCGGAGAAAGAGGAACACUCCUCCAUUUUUGGUGGGAUUGCAGACUGGUACAACCAUUCUGGAAAUCAGUGUGGAGGUUCCUCAGAAAAUUGGACAUUGAACUGCCUGAGGAUCCGUCUAUACCUCUCUUGGGCAUAUACCCACAAGAUGCCCCAACAUAUAAAAAAGACACGUGGGCUGGAGAGAUGGCUCAGCCGUUAAAGGCUAGGCUCACAACCAAAAAAGACACGUGCUCCACUAUGUUCAUCGCAGCCUUAUUUAUAAUAGCCAGAAGCUGGAAAGAACCCAGAUGCCCUUCAACAGAGGAAUGGAUACAGAAAAUGUAGUACAUCUACACAAUGGAAUAUUACUCAGCUAUCAAAAACAAUGACUUUAUGAAAUUCGUAGGCAAAUGGUUGGAACUGGAAAAUAUCAUCCUGAGUGAGGUAACCCAAUCACAGAAAAACACACAUGGUAUGCACUCAUUGAUAAGUGGCUAUUAGCCCAAAUGCUUGAAUUACCCUAGAUGCCUAGAACAAAUGAAACUCAAGACAGAUGAUCAAAAUGUGAAUGGUUCACUCCUUCUUUAAAAGGGGAACAAGAAUACCCUUGGCAGGGAAUAGAGAGGCAAAGAUUAAAACAGACACAGAAGGAACACCCAUUCAGAGCCUGCCCCACAUGUGGCCCAUACAUAUACAGCCAUCCAAUUAGACAAGAUGGAUGAAGCAAAGAAGUGCAGGCCGACAGGAGCCGGAUGUAGAUCGCUCCUGAGAGACACAGCCAGAAUACAGCAAACACAGAGGCGAAUGCCAGCAGCAAACCACUGAACUGAGAAUAGGACCCCCGUUGAAGGAAUCAGAGAAAGAACUGGAAGAGCUUGAAGGGGCUCGAGACCCCAUAUGUACAACAAUGCCAAGCAACCAGAGCUUCCAGGGACUAAGCCACUACCUAAAGACUAUACAUGGACUGACCGUGGACUCUGACCUCAUAGGUAGCAAUGAAUAUCCUAGUAAGAUCACCAGUGGAAGGGGAAGCCCUGGGUCCUGCUAAGACUGAACCCCCAGUGAACUAGAUUUUUCGGGGGAGGGCGGCAAUGGGGGGAGGGGAACACCCAUAAAGAAGGGGAGGGGGUGGGAUUAGGGGGAUAUUUGCCUGGAAACCGGGAAAGGGAAUAACACUCGAAAUGUAUAUAAGAAAUACUCAAGUUAAUAAAAAAAAAAAGUUCUAUGCAAA